AAUGGGCGGAAGCCUGAACCAGCCAUGCCGCGUGCGGGAAGAAGGCGCUACGCGUCGUAAACCGCUUUUGUCCGGGGGUAACCGCGGGGACGUGUCCCCGCCUGCAAGUACCGGACGAAUAAGGGUCGGCUAACUCCGUGCCAGCAGCCGCGGUAAUACGGAGGACCCGAGCGUUAUCCGGAUUCAUUGGGUUUAAAGGGUGCGCAGGCGGCCCGGUCAGUCAGCGGUGAAAUGCCCGCGCUUCACGCGGGAGCUGCCGUUGAUACUGCCGGGCUAGAAUCUCAGCGAGGCGGGCGGAAUGCGCGGUGUAGCGGUGAAAUGCAUAGAUAUCGCGCAGAACGCCGAUUGGGGAGCCAGCUCGCCAGCUGGGUAUUGACGCUGAGGCACGAAAGCGUGGGGAUCGAA
rnacentral:rRNA from 1 species